GUUCCUGGCUCAGGAUGAACGCUAGCGACAGGCCUAACACAUGCAAGUCGAGGGGCAGCGGGGAGGUAGCAAUACCUUUGCCGGCGACCGGCGCACGGGUGAGUAACACGUAUGCAAUCCACCUGUAACAGGGGGAUAACCCGGAGAAAUCCGGACUAAUACCCCAUAAUAUGGGCGCUCCGCAUGGAGAGUUCAUUAAAGAGAGCAAUUUUGGUUACAGACGAGCAUGCGCUCCAUUAGCCAG
rnacentral:rRNA from 1 species